rnacentral:rRNA from 1 species
UGGGGAAUAUUGCACAAUGGGGGAAACCCUGAUGCAGCGACGCCGCGUGAACGAAGAAGGUAUUCGUAUCGUAAAGUUCUGUCCUAUGGGAAGAUAAUGACAGUACCAUAGAAGAAAGCUCCGGCUCAAUACGUGCCAGCAGCCGCGGUAAUACGUAUGGAGCGAGCGUUGUCCGGAAUUAUUGGGCGUAAAGGGUACGCAGGCGGUUUAAUAAGUCGAAUGUUAAAGAUCGGGGCUCAACCCCGCAAAGCAUUGGAAACUGAUAAACUUGAGUAGUGGAGAGGAAAGUGGAAUUCCUAGUGUAGUGGUGAAAUACGUAGAUAUUAGGAGGAAUACCAGUAGCGAAGGCGACUUUCUGGACACAAACUGACGCUGAGGUACGAAAGCGUGGGGAGCAAACAGG